GGACACAGCUGUACCAGCUCAAAGCCUUCCACAGCGUUGCAUACCGUAACUGCAGUCUGUGUAUGGAUGAUCUGGAGGAAAGCAGGAGCCAGGCUCUCAAAGAGCUGCUGCGUGAUUAUUUCGACAAGAGGAGAAACCUGGACCUGAGCAAACACUAUCAGGAGGACGUGGAGGAGCUCAACAAAUGCAAGUUGAGAGACUUGGAGGCUCAGAUCUGUGCGGACAUCAGAGGUUUGCUGUCCAGUCGCAGUGAUUAGAAGUUCUCCGGUCGAGCCGUGGCCAGAAUCUUCC